CACUAAGUAAUUACUUUAAUUAUUUAUUACUGGCUACGGUACUACAGUUAAUAAUAUGUUCAAUUCUCUGGUUACUUUUGCGGUUUCAUAUGUGUUUUCCAACGCGGAAUUUGUCUCUAAAUGCCAUAUACUUAUGGGUUUUGUGACCGACCCUUUGACAAACAAUAUAUGAUUCACUACCCGCUUCACAAGCAGCUCGCGUAGAAUUCAUUCCAGAAAAUAAUAACACC